rnacentral:rRNA from 1 species
UACGUAGGGUGCAAGCAUUAAUCGGAAUUAUUGGGCGUAAAGGGCGCGUAGGCGGUCGAAGAAGUCAGAUGUGAAAUUUCGGGGCUCAACCUCGAAGCUGCAUUUGAAACUGAGCGACUAGAGGGUUGGCGGAGAAAAUGGAAUUCCACGUGUAGCGGUGAAAUGCGUAGAUAUGUGGAAGAACACCAGUGGCGAAAGCGGUUUUCUAGCUUACACCUGACGCUGAGGCGCGAGAGCAAGGGGAGCAAACAGG